rnacentral:rRNA from 1 species
GAUGAACGCUAGCGGCAGGCUUAACACAUGCAAGUCGAGGGGUAGAAGGAGCUUGCUCCUUUGAGACCGGCGCACGGGUGCGUAACGCGUAUGCAAUCUACCUUUUGCAGAGGGACUAGCCCAGAGAAAUUUGGAUUAAUACCUCAUAGUAUGUGAGGAUGGCAUCAUUUUCACAUUAAAGUCACAACGGCAAAAGAUGAGCAUGCGUCCCAUUAGCUAGUUGGUAAGGUAACGGCUUACCAAGGCUACGAUGGGUAGGGGUCCUGAGAGGGAGAUCCCCCANACUGGUACUGAGACG